GUAAAGCGAAUGAUUAGAGGCAUCAGGGAUGGAAUAUCCUUGACCUAUUCUCAAACUUUAAAUGGGUAAGAACCCUGGGUUGCUUAAUUGAACCCGGUGGUCGAAUGACGGUUGCUAGUGGGCCAAUCUGGGUAAGCUAGAUUGGCGAUGCGGGAUGAUCCGAACGUCGAGUUAAAGUGCCAAAGUAUCCGCUAACCUAGAUCCCACAAAAGGUGUUGGUUCAUUAAGACAGCAGGACGGUGGCCAUGGAAGCCGGAAUCCGCUAAGGAGUGUGUAA
rnacentral:rRNA from 1 species